CAGUCGCCGCGGGAAUACGAAGGGUGCAAGCGUUAAUCGGAAUUACUGGGCGUAAAGCGUGCGUAGGCGGUGAGUUAAGUCUGCUGUGAAAUCCCCGGGCUCAACCUGGGAAUGGCAGUGGAUACUGGCUCGCUAGAGUGUGUCAGAGGAUGGUGGAAUUCCCGGUGUAGCGGUGAAAUGCGUAGAGAUCUGGAGGAAUACCGAUGGCGAAGGCAGCCAUCUGGCCUAAUACUGACGCUGAGGUACGAAAGCAUGGGGAGCAAACAGGAUUAGAUACCCGAGUAGUCCCUGUCUCUUAUAC
rnacentral:rRNA from 1 species